rnacentral:rRNA from 1 species
GACAGAGGGUGCAAACGUUGUUCGGAAUUACUGGGCGUAAAGCGCGUGUAGGCUGCUUCGCAAGUCGGGUGUGAAAGCCCUGGGCUCAACCUAGGAAGUGCACUCGAAACUGCGAAGCUUGAGUCCUGGAGAGGAAGGCGGAAUUCUCGGUGUAGAGGUGAAAUUCGUAGAUAUCGAGAGGAACACCCGUGGCGAAGGCGGUUCUCUGGGACGGUACUGACGCUGAGACGCGAAAGCGUGGGGAGCGAACAGG